rnacentral:rRNA from 1 species
UACGGAGGGUGCAAGCGUUGUUCGGAAUCAUUGGGCGUAAAGCGCGUGUAGGCGGCCCGAUAAGUCCGCUGUGAAAGUCCAGGGCUCAACCCUGGGAUGCCGGUGGAUACUGUCGGGCUCGAGUCCGGAAGAGGCGAGUGGAAUUCCUGGUGUAGCGGUGAAAUGCGCAGAUAUCAGGAGGAACACCAAUGGCGAAGGCAGCUCGCUGGGACGUGACUGACGCUGAGACGCGAAAGCGUGGGGAGCAAACAGG